UACGUAGGGGGCAAGCGUUGUCCGGAAUCAUUGGGCGUAAAGGGCGCGUAGGCGGAUAAUUAAGUCUGGUGUGAAAACCUAGGGCUCAACCCUGGGACUGCAUCGGAAACUGGUUAUCUUGAGGACAGGAGAGGAAAGUGGAAUUCCACGUGUAGCGGUGAAAUGCGUAGAUAUGUGGAGGAACACCAGUGGCGAAGGCGACUUUCUGGACUGUAACUGACGCUGAGGCGCGAAAGCGUGGGGAGCAAACAGG
rnacentral:rRNA from 1 species